rnacentral:rRNA from 1 species
AGGAUAAACGCUGGCGGCGUGCCUAACACAUGCAAGUCGAGCAAAGCUCUUUCGAGAGAGGGAGCGCCACACGAGGAGCCUGCGCCCGAUUAGCUAGCUGGUGGAGUAAUGGUUCACCAGGGCGACGAUCGGUAGCUGGUCUGAGAGGACGAUCAGCCACACUGGGAUUGAGAACGGCCCAGACUCCUACGGGGGGCAGCAGUGAGGAAUUUUCGUCAAUGGGGGCAACCCUGAACGAGCAACGCCGCGUGCAGGAAGAAGGUUUUCGGAUCGUAAACUGCUUUUCUCGGGGAAGAGAAUGGACGGUACCCGAGGAAUCAGCCCCGGCUAACUACGUGCCAGCAGCCGC